rnacentral:rRNA from 1 species
AUACGAAGGGUGCAAGCGUUAAUCGGAAUUACUGGGCGUAAAGCGCGCGUAGGCGGUUUGUUAAGUCAGAUGUGAAAGCCCUGGGCUCAACCUGGGAACUGCAUUUGAAACUGGCAGGCUAGAGUAUGAUAGAGGGAAGGGGAAUUCCACGUGUAGCGGUGAAAUGCGUAGAUAUGUGGAGGAACAUCAGUGGCGAAGGCGCCUUCCUGGAUCAAUACUGACGCUGAGGUGCGAAAGCGUGGGGAGCAAACAGGAUUAGAUACCCCAGUAGUCC